UAUGACACCCGCCUACGUGCCUCCUUGAAAGAUAUGUUUUCUUUGACUUUGAUUGUCAUAAUCUCUUUCUCUUUUCGCGGACGGGCAGGCGCGCGAGUAUGCGGCGUGCUCGCCAUCACAGUUGACACAGUGUGGAGCCUUCUGGCAUGUUUCGGAGGAAUGUUCAGUGUCACACUUGGCACAUGUCAGCCGGCCUCGACAGUUCUGUGAACUGUGGCCGAACCUCUGGCACUUAAAGCAUCUGAGAGGAUUGGGAACGUAUGGCCGAACACGAAGUUUGAUAUAACCAGCCUCGAUGGACUCGGGAAGGACACUUGAGCCGAAGAUUCUGCUUCCCGACACUAAGAGGACGUGGAGGACGGUCAGACUCUCGCCGCAUCUGCCACAGUGUGGAGGUUCACUUCCAAUUCGGCUUCCCGACACCCCAGACAGACGUGAAGGACGGCCAGCCUCUCCCCGCAUCUACCAAUGGUUGGAGUCUCGUUUCCGGUGAGUAAAAAAUAAUGUGUGCCAAAUGUGUGUCCUAUUCUUAGACGACAGAAUAGGACAUCUGUCCGGUGUGCUUUUGUUGCAGGGGGCCAGAGACCUAAUUGUGGCUUUAUUA